GGGAAGGAGAACAGAAGACUGCUGUUUAGAGCAUUUAGUUUUACAGCAAAACCGAGCAAAAGUGAAGAGAUUCCCACGUGCCUCCCUGCUCCCCCACCCAAAACCUCCUCCCCGAUCUGCAUCUCCCACCAGUGGUCAACCAGGUGCCAUCAGCUGACGUGAUUGACAUGUCACUAUCAUACAGGAAUGAAGUUCUGAUACAUGCUAGGACAUAGGUGAACCCUGAAAACAUUACACCAAGUGAAAGAAGCCACAUACGCAGGACAAAUAUCGGUUCCCCUCACAUGAAGGACCUAAGCUUUUAAAACCAGGCAGGUUAGAACCACAGGCACUGCGUUUUUCUCCACUGGGGCAGCACACAGACAAGUCCAAGUUCAUCCCACAGCUUCGCCCCGC